rnacentral:lncRNA from 1 species
UCGCACACAUGUGUCCUGCCGUGAUGGCACUGAGUGUGUGGCUCAGGAGUACCUGUGUGAUGGGGAGAAAGACUGCGCAGAUGGCUCUGAUGAGGAUGGGUGUGCCCAGCUCUGCAACACCCCAGGGGCCUUCCGUUGCGCGAGCGGAGCCAUGUGCGUUGGGGCGGGAGAGCGCUGCGAUGGGGUGCCCCAGUGCCCCGAUGCCUCGGAUGAGACAGGCUGCUGGACCCCCACGCAGGAGUGUGCCCUGCGCUGUGACGCUGCCACCCGCUGCAUCCCCAAGAGCUGGCUGUGUGAUGGCCAUGCUGACUGCCUGGACCACACUGACGAGCAGGGCUGUGUGCCGAAGGAGUGUGGCCCGGCUGAGUUCCCCUGCCGGAAUGGGCAGUGCGUGGCCCUGGCCCUGCACUGCGAUGGUGACCACGACUGCCAGGACCACUCAGACGAGGAGGGCUGUGCCGUGCCCCGGCCACUGCUCUGCCGUGCGGGUGAGGUGAUGUGUUCCCACAGUGGGGAGUGUGUGCCGGAGGCCUGGCGCUGCGAUGGCGCUGCCGACUGUGGG